ACCUAGCUGACGAGUCCCAAAUAAGACGAAACGUAUAUCCUAGAU
rnacentral:hammerhead_ribozyme from 1 species